rnacentral:rRNA from 1 species
GACGAACGCUGGCGGCGUGCUUAACACAUGCAAGUCGAGCGGUAAGGCCCUUUCGGGGGUACGACGAGCGGCGAACGGGUGAGUAACACGUGGGUGACUUGCCCUCAGCUCUGGGAUAAGCCUGGGAAACCGGGUCUAAUACUGGAUAUGACUCCAUGACGCAUGUUGUGGGGUGGAAAGCCUUGUGCGGCUGAGGAUGGGCCCGCGGCCUAUCAGCUUGUUGGUGGGGUGANGGCCUACCAAGGCGACGACGGGUAGCCGGCCUGAGAGGGCGACCGGCCACACUGGGACUGAGACACGGCCCAGACUCCUACGGGAGGCAGCAGUGGGGAAUCUUGCGCAAUGGGCGAAAGCCUGACGCAGCGACGCCGCGUGAGGGAUGACGGCCUCGGUUGUAAC